rnacentral:rRNA from 2 species
AGCAGCCGCGGUAAUUCCAGCUCCAAUAGCGUAUAUUAAAGUUGUUGCAGUUAAAAAGCUCGUAGUUGAAUUUCGGGAUCAAUGUUUCGGUCAUGCCGUUGGUAUGUACUGAUAUUAUUGAUUUCUCACCUUCUAAAGAACCGUAAUGCCAUUAAUUUGGUGUCACGGGGAAUUAGGACUGUUACCUUGAAAAAAUUAGAGUGUUUAAAGCAGGCUCACGCUUGAAUACAUUAGCAUGGAAUAAUGAAAUAGGACAUCCGAUUCUAUUUUGUUGGUUUCUAGGAUCGAUGUAAUGAUUAAUAGGGAUAGUUGGGGGCAUUAGUAUUCAAUUGUCAGAGGUGAAAUUCUUGGAUUUAUUGAAGACUAACUACUGCGAAAGCAUUUGCCAAGGAUGUUUUCAUUAAUCAAGAACGAAAGUUAGGGGAUCGAAGACGAUCAGAUACCGUCGUAGUCUUAACCAUAAACUAUGCCGACUAGGGAUCGGAUGAUGUUAAUUUUUUAAUGACUCA